rnacentral:lncRNA from 1 species
UCGACCCCCAGUCCUAGCUGUGAUAGGUAUCUCAAACCCAUCGUGGCCCGGAGACCACCCCUAUUGCCUGUCCAAACCAAACAUAUUCCAAAUAAUAACAAAUAGAAGACCACCAGAGAAUGAAGAUAAAAUAGUUAAUGUAACUUAAUAAGCUCUAAGAUUCAACAACACCAUCCAACCCACACAUAUCCAUAAAAGCCUCUAAACCAAUACGGCUAUAAAACUAGGUCGAGACAUAUCCCCGC